rnacentral:tRNA from 1 species
GGGUAGGUGGCCGAGUGGUUAAUGGCGCCAGACUGUAAAUUUGGUACGCUAACGCGUUACGCUGGUUCAAAUCCAGCCCUGCCCACCA